GAUGAACGCUGGCGGCGUGCCUAAUACAUGCAAGUCGAACGAAACUUCUUUAUCACCGAGUGCUUGCACUCACCGAUAAAGAGUUGAGUGGCGAACGGGUGAGUAACACGUGGUCAACCUGCCCAAAAGAGGGGGAUAACACUUGGAAACAGGUUCUAAUACCUCAUAACCAUAUUUACCGCUUUGUAACUUUGUUAAAUGUUUCUAUACUACCGCUUUUGGUUUGUCCCGGGGCGCAUUAGCUAGUUGGUAGGGUAAAGGAUUACCAAGGCAAUGAUGCGAAGACGAAAUGAGAGGUUGAUCGGCCACAAUGGGACUGAGAAACGGACAAAACGACUACGGGAGGAAGCAGUAGGGAAUCUGCCACAAUGGGCGAAAGGCUGAUGGAGCAACGCCGCGUGGGUGAAGAAGGUCUUCGGAUCGUAAAACCCUGUUGUUAGAGAAGAAAGAGAGUGAGAGUAACUGUUCACGUUUCGACGGUAACUAACCGGAAAGCCACGGCUAACUACGUG
rnacentral:rRNA from 1 species